rnacentral:rRNA from 1 species
GACGAAGGUGGCGAGCGUUGUUCGGAAUCACUGGGCAUAAAGCGCACGUAGGCGGCGACGUAAGUUGGGUGUGAAAUCCCUCGGCCCAACCGAGGAACUGCGCCCAGUACUGCGUUGCUUGAGGAUCCAAGGGGUGCAUGGAAUUCCCGGUGGAGCGGUGAAAUGCGUUGAUAUCGGGAGGAACUCCGGCGGCGAAAGCGGUGCACUGGUGGAUUACUGACGCUGAGGUGCGAAAGCCAGGGGAGCAAACGGGG